rnacentral:tRNA from 1 species
AGAGGUAUAACUCAGUGGUAGAGUGCUCAUCUGGCAUGUGAGGUCCUGGGUUUAAUUCCCAGGACUACAA